UUAUCAAAGCUUACAAUAGAGUACAUGAUCAAAAAUAGAAGAAAUAUAUCUAAAUGCUAUCUUCUGUAUGAGUAAGCAUUGACCGAGAAGAAGGUGUGCAACACGUUAAAAAAAAGGGCUGGACAUUGGUCGAAAGAUUACCAAAAGAUGGAAGCUUCAAAAUUGGCCUUGUGGUUUUCUUUGUGACUCGCCUCCAAAAUCAGUGAAGAACCUCUGUAAAAAGAACAAUAUAGUUAGUAGCAAAAACAAAUAAAGACGUGCUAGCAGCAGUGAAAAAGGUCUUCAUAGAUAUAGUUGGUACCUUCAAAUGGUUGUGUUUGCAGUGAGAAGGAGGAUGAACGUAAUUACUUAAAUUUGGGCAUAAAGAAAUGAAUUGUGGCAACUGGCAUGUAGUUAAUUGUGGAUAUUUGUAAUCCAUUUGUACUUGCAGUUGGAACUGCAACCUUCAGUUGAGACUUGGACGUGGUCAUAAAUCAAGGAACAUGUAUGCUCUUUCUAACGUGGCCAAGGUUUGACACUUUGACCUAUUUUCUAGCAUAUGUCUGA
rnacentral:lncRNA from 1 species